AUUGAACGCUGGCGGAAUGCUUUACACAUGCAAGUCGAACGGUAGAGGGGGCAACCCCUCGAGAGUGGCGAACGGGUGAGUAAUAUAUCGGAACGUGCCCAGUCGUGGGGGAUAACGUAGCGAAAGUUACGCUAAUACCGCAUACGAUCUAAGGAUGAAAGCGGGGGAACGAAAGACCUCGCGAGAUGUGAGCGGGCGAUAGCAGAUUAGGUAGUUGGUGGGGUAAAGGCUCACCAAGCCAACGAUCUGUAGCUGGUCUGUGAGGACGACCAGCCACACUGGAACUGAGACACGGUCCAGACUCCUACGGGAGGCAGCAGUGGGGAAUUUUGGACAAUGGACGCAAGUCUGAUCCAGCCAUUCCGCGUGCAGGAUGAAGGCCCUCGGGUUGUAAACUGCUUUUGUACGGAACGAAAAGGUCUCUCUUAAUACGGGGGGCUCAUGACGGUACCGUAAGAAUAAGCACCGGCUAACUACGUGCCAGCAGCCGCAGUAA
rnacentral:rRNA from 1 species